rnacentral:rRNA from 1 species
UACAGAGGUCCCGAGCGUUGUUCGGAUUCACUGGGCGUAAAGGGUGCGUAGGUGGUGAGGUAAGUCGGAUGUGAAAUCUCCAAGCUCAACUUGGAAAUGGCAUUGGAAACUACCUUGCUGGAGGUUUGGAGGGGGGACUGGAAUUCUCGGUGUAGCAGUGAAAUGCGUAGAUAUCGAGAGGAACACCAGUGGCGAAGGCGAGUCCCUGGACAAAACCUGACACUGAGGCACGAAAGCUAGGGGAGCGAACGGG